rnacentral:tRNA from 1 species
AAAAAUUUAGUUUAAUAAAAACAUUAAUUUGUCAAAUUAAAAAUAUUCUAAUAAUAAUUUUUA